CUGCUCAGGUGUGGGACCAUA
rnacentral:miRNA from 1 species